rnacentral:rRNA from 1 species
GGGAGGCUUAACACAUGCAAGUCGAGGGGUAUAAGUAGCAAUAUUUAGAGACCGGCGCACGGGUGAGUAACGCGUAUGCAACCUGCCCUUUACAGGGGGAUAGCCCGUAGAAAUGCGGAUUAAUACCCCAUAGUACUAUUGGAUSGCAUGGUUUGAUAGUUAAAGUUUCGGCGGUAAAGGAUGGGCAUGCGUGACAUUAGCUAGUUGGUGAGGUAACGGCUCACCAAGGCUACGAUGUCUAGGGGUUCUGAGAGGAAGAUCCCCCACACUGGUACUGAGACACGGACCAGACUCCUACGGGAGGCAGCAGUGAGGAAUAUUGGUCAAUGGGCGGGAGCCUGAACCAGCCAUCCCGCGUGCAGGAAGAAUGCCCUAUGGGUUGUAAACUGCUUUUUCGCAUGAAGAACACUCCGGACGUGUCUGGAGCUGACGGUAAUGCGUGAAUAAGCACCGGCUAACUCCGUGCCAGCAGCCGCGGUAAUACGGAGGGUGCAAGCGUUAUCCGGAUUUAUUGGGUUUAAAGGGUGCGUAGGCGGUAAUAUAAGUCAGUGGUGAAAUCCUGCAGCUCAACUGUAGAACAGCCAUUGAAACUGCAUUACUUGAGUAAUCUUGAGGUAGGCGGAAUGUGUAGUGUAGCGGUGAAAUGCUUAGAUAUUACACAGAACACCGAUUGCGAAGGCAGCUUACUAAGGAUUUACUGACGCUGAUGCACGAAAGCGUGGGGAUCAAACAGGAUUAGAUACCCUGGUAGUCCACGCCGUAAACGAUGAUAACUCGCUGUUGGCGAUACACAGUCAGCGGCUUAGCGAAAG